UACGUAGGGGGCAAGCGUUAUCCGGAUUUACUGGGUGUAAAGGUUGCGUAGGUGGCAUGGCAAGUCAGAAGUGAAAGGCCGGGGCUCAACCCCGGGACUGCUUUUGAAACUGUCAGGCUGGAGUGCAGGAGAGGAAAGCGGAAUUCCUAGUGUAGCGGUGAAAUGCGUAGAUAUUAGGAGGAACACCAGUGGCGAAGGCGGCUUUCUGGA
rnacentral:rRNA from 1 species